UUCUCGGCGCGGACGGCAUUCCCGUGGACCUUCGGCCGAAGGGGCGACGCGCGACACGAAAACAUCCGUGGAGCUCAAGUUUGAGGUGAAACCAGGCUCAGGGUCCACCUGUCCUCGCUGAUCCAUGGAUUUCUGUGUGACCAGCUUUGGGACACAACCUGAAGACCCUCACAGUCCCCUUCCCCAUCUCCACCCUCCGGUAUUCAUCAGACAGGAGCAACGGCUCAGCCACGUUCAACUCCACUGAGAGGGUCCUGCAGAGCCUGGGGAGACCCUGGUUCCAGCAGCUCCUGUUGGGUUAAAUCCCACCCAGCCCCUCCCCCACUCCCUGUCCCUCCUGCUCCUCCUCCUCCUCCUUCCUCCCCAGCUGGA